GGAGGCGUGCCAGAGCGGUUGAAUGGGCCGGUCUCGAAAACCGGUAUACUCGAAAGGGUAUCGGAGGUUCGAAUCCUCCCGCCUCCG
rnacentral:tRNA from 1 species